UAUGGUCAUAUCAAGUUGAAACAUUGGUUCUUGUCUGAUCACUGAAGUUAAGCAACGUCAAACCUAUCCAGUACCUAAAUGGGUGACUGCUUGGGAAUACUAGGUGCUGUAAGC